rnacentral:rRNA from 1 species
UACGGAGGGUGCAAGCGUUGCUCGGAAUUAUUGGGCGUAAAGGGUAGGUAGGUGGUCUCAUUUGUCAGGGGUGAAAGCCUUGGGCUUAACCCGAGAAGUGCCCCUGAAACGGUGAGACUCGAGUACUGGAGAGGGUCGUGGAAUUCCCGGUGUAGCGGUGAAAUGCGUAGAGAUCGGGAGGAACACCAGAGGCGAAGGCGGCGACCUGGACAGUAACUGACACUCAACUACGAAAGCGUGGGGAGCAAACAGG